UGUUGUUUGCAAGAAACAGAUGGACGGGCCGGUAGGUCUGAAUGUCUGCUGAAGAGAAGAUUGGCAGGUACCUAGAGAAUUCCAACACAAUGCCACUCUCUUUUCUCUUCUCUCUUUUCAACAUUUAAGAAUCCAUUUCCAUCUCUUCCUGUGUUUAGCCAUGUCUCUCACACCUUUGAUGUUUAGGUCGGUGGUGAGGCUACUGACGUCGCUAAUUGGUGAGCCCGCCGCUUCGGUCUCAACCUUACUCUACUAUAGCAAUCUUCUACCCCAGAACAUCGUUCUAUUGAGAUUGGUCCGGCACGAAUUGCUCGACGAAGAAAAUUAUCUCUUCCAUUUUCUCGUCAACUUCUUGAGAUGUUUCUGGUAAAUGUUACUGUGCCGAGGUUUGACUCAUCUUUUUUCUCCAUCUUAUUCAUGGAUUUAUCGAAAUAAGAGAUAGGUGGUUCCUCAAUCGAUCUUAACCUUUUUUCUAUUUAUAUAUUUAAUAGUUGCAUUGCGGAUGCGGCCUGUUUUUUUCAUGCAACUGUAAUCUUGUGUAAUUGGUGAGCAUAUUGAUUUUAGACUUCCAACUCAUAAUGAAUAAUAUUUUGUUUCCAAACA